rnacentral:rRNA from 1 species
UACGUAGGGGGCAAGCGUUGUCCGGAAUUAUUGGGCGUAAAGCGCGCGCAGGUGGUUCUUUAAGUCUGAUGUGAAAGCCCCCGGCUCAACCGGGGAGGGUCAUUGGAAACUGGGGAACUUGAGUAUAGAAGAGGAAAGUGGAAUUCCACGUGUAGCGGUGAAAUGCGUAGAGAUGUGGAGGAACACCAGUGGCGAAGGCGACUUUCUGGUCUAUAACUGACACUGAGGCGCGAAAGCGUGGGGAUCAAACAGG